rnacentral:rRNA from 1 species
CACUUGCCUAAUACAUGCAAGUCGUACGCUAGCCGCUGAAUUGAUCCUUCGGGUGAAGUGAGGCAAUGACUAGAGUGGCGAACUGGUGAGUAACACGUAAGAAACCUGCCCUUUAGUGGGGGAUAACAUUUGGAAACAGAUGCUAAUACCGCGUAACAACAAAUCACACAUGUGAUCUGUUUGAAAGGUCCUUUUGGAUCGCUAGAGGAUGGUCUUGCGGCGUAUUAGCUUGUUGGUAGGGUAGAAGCCUACCAAGGCAAUGAUGCGUAGCCGAGUUGAGAGACUGGCCGGCCACAUUGGGACUGAGACACUGCCCAAACUCCUACGGGAGGCUGCAGUAGGGAAUUUUCCGCAAUGCACGAAAGUGUGACGGAGCGACGCCGCGUGUGUGAUGAAGGCUUUCGGGUCGUAAAGCACUGUUGUAAGGGAAGAAUAACUGAAUUCAGAGAAAGUUUUCAGCUUGACGGUACCUUACCAGAAAGGGAUGGCUAAAUACGUGCCAGCAGCCGCGGUAAUACGUAUGUCCCGAGCGUUAUCCGGAUUUAUUGGGCGUAAAGCGAGCGCAGACGGUUUAUUAAGUCUGAUGUGAAAUCCCGAGGCCCAACCUCGGAACUGCAUUGGAAACUGAAGGAUCA